UUGAAAGAAUGCCUCAGUCACAACAGACUGAGGUGAUGUAUGCUUCACACAUUCCACAUUUGGAACACUUCCGGGUAUGAGACACAGGACUUACAGCAAAAGUAGACUCAGUGAGUCUUGGUGUAGGGUGGGUAACACCACUCCUUAAUCUGCUGCUGGCUUUGUGGUUAAAAGAAGAAAGGCCUUCCCCUUCUCUCUGGCACUGGUUGAAAGUCUGAAGCAUUCCCAAUAUUGCUGGCACAGAGUUUGAGGACAAAGGCAGUCUCUAACCUGAGAUUCCACUCCUCACAGUGAAGAAGAAUAUUAAGCAGCCAACUGCCUCAAAUUACCCUUAAGAAUCUUAGGAAGUAAACAUUUAAUGGAUAUUCCAUUCUUAAAUCUUUAACAGAGCAGAACUGCUGUUCCUAUAAAUAUUAUUGUUCAGCUUAUAGGUGUCACAAGGAAAAUGUCAUAGCAAAGGAGCUCUGAAUUCCUACUGAAAAGUUCAACGUAAAGCCCAGAAAGAGAUCUCUUCAGUUAUCUUGGCCCGGUCCUUUGUAGCCAACCCAGCUUGAGACUCAUGUUAAGGAAGCCAUGUGUUAUGAGGAAAGAGAUGCAGAGGAUGAAUAUAAAGGAAUAUGAAGAGGCGAUACAAUAAUCUACAAUCAGUGCCAUGGGAGUAUAGAGGAGGGAAUAUUUAACAUUGAUGGGAGCUCCAGAAAGACUUCCUUUGAUAUGAGUAGAAUUCCUCAGGUACCUAUAGUGGAAUAGAUAACAUAGCAUGUACAAAUGGGAGGUGAGAAAAACUGAACUUUUCUAGGAAUAAGUAUUUCAGAGUGAAGGAUGAAGACUUUUGU